rnacentral:rRNA from 1 species
GUGGCAAGUCUUCCAGUAUGGGGAGCAAAACAGCUAUGGGUCAAGUCCGAUAUCUUUAGGAGAAGUCUUAUUGUGAGGGCGAGUUAUAUAACACCAUAGGACUGGCCGUCCCAUAUGAAAAGAUUAUAUUAGAAUUGAAUGAAGCUUUGUUUAUAUAUUGAUAAUGACAGUAUAUAUAUCGUGUCUUGACUAAUUGCGUGCCAGCAGUCGCGGUAAUACGUAAGAGACUAGUGUUAUUCAUCUUAAUUAGGUUUAAAGGGUACCCAGACGGUCAAUAUAGCUUAUAAAAUGUUAGUACUUGACUAGAGUUUUAUGUAAGAGGGCAGUACUUGAGGAGGAGAGAUGAAAUUUCGUGAUACCAAAGGGACUCUGUAAAGGCGAAGGCAGCCCUCUAUGUAAAAACUGACGUUGAAGGACGAAGGCACAGAGAACAAACAGGAUUAGAUACCCAAGUAGUCUUUGCAGUAAAUGAUGAAUGCCAUAGGUUAGAUUGAUCAAUUAUAGUCUAGGGUUAGUCUAGCAAACUAAUGCCCUAUGAUAUAAUUCAAAAUAUCUGGUCUAUAAAUGAAAGUGUAAGCAUUUCACCUCAAGAGUAAUGUGGCAACGCAGGAACUGAAAUCACUAGACCGUUUCUGACACCAGUAGUGAAGUAUGUUAUUUA